GAUGAAGAACGUAGCGAAAUGCGAUAAGUAAUGUGAAUUGCAGAAUUCAGUGAAUCAUCGAAUCUUUGAACGCACAUUGCGCCCGCCAGUAUUCUGGCGGGCAUGCCUGUCCGAGCGUCAUUUCAACCCUCGAACCCCUCCGGGGGGUCGGCGUUGGGGAUCGGCCCUUUCACCGGGUGCCGGCCCCUAAAUACAGUGGCGGUCUCGCCGCAGCCUCUCAUGCGCAGUAGUUUGCACACUCGCACCGGGAGCGCGGCGCGUCCUCGUCCGUAAAACACCCCAAACUUCUGAAAUGUUGACCUCGGAUCAGGUAGGAAUACCCGCUGAACUUAAGAAUAUCAAUAAGCGGAGGA
rnacentral:misc_RNA from 1 species